ACCUAAUUUUAGUUUUCCAAUUUUUUACUCUCUUUUUUGGAUUUAGCAUUGUAUUAAAUGGUUAUGUUUCGAAUCACAAAUUCUUUGUUUACAUGUAUAGUGAAUCAUAUGAAUUAUUAUCUUUUUCAAGAUGGAGUCUAAUACGCUGCCAAGUUUAUCCCCAAACAUCAAACGCAAUAGAAUAUGAAAUUCAAAAGUCCACGGGUCGAAAAAGAUUAAGAAAAUCUUUGAAAUCAAAGCCUCCUAUAGCUUCUAAACAAUCCAGGAGUAUAUUUUGGGAGCAUUGUGAAAAGGAAAAAAAGAAAGCUGUGUGAUGGGAGCAAACAACAAAUAGAGAUAUGCAAAUAUUACAAAGUUGAAAUCCCAACAAUUUACGGAAGUACUAGUGGUUUAAAAAAUCACUUAGUAAAGAGGUGUAAGUCAAAUCCGCUAUAUGAAGCAAGUGAGAAUGAUAAAAGUCAACCUACAUUGCCGAAUGAGAUUAUGGGACAAGGAAGUUCCUUGGUUCCUUAUACUUAUAAUCAGAAAAGAUGUGAAUUGAAAUUGAUAAGGUAUGUGAUUGUCGAUGAAGUGUCUUUUAGGGUUGUCGAAGGGAAGAGGUUUGCAGAGUUAUUGCAUGAAUUAUAGCUGAGAUUUAGAAUUCUUGAUCGAAAGAAAGUUGCAAAUAUGAUUUAUGAUCUAUUCUUAGUUGAGAAAGCUAAGAUACAAAGUGUGAUUGGCGACCAAAGGGUAAGUAUAACAACUGAUACUUGGACAUCCAUUUAAAACAUAAAUUAUAUGGUAGUGAUAGCUCACUUUUUGGAUAGUAAUUGGAAGUUACAUGAAAGAAUAAUUAACUUCACAAAAAUCACUAAUCAUGUAGGGGAAGAAAUUUGCAAGGUGGUUGAGGUUUGUUUUAGAGAGUGGGGAAUAUAAAAAAUCUUUUUAAUUAUAGUCCACAAUACUUCCUCUAAUGACACUGUAAUUGUUUACUUAAAAAGAAGAAUGAAAAGUGAAAAUUCAUUGUUAUUUGAAAGGAAAUACUUGCACUUGAGGUGCAUGUGUCAAUGCUUAAUUGUUAAUGAUGACUUAAGGAGCUUAAUGUUUCAAUUAAAGCUAUAAAGAAUGCAGUUGUUUUUAUUCAUUCUUCCCCACAAGGUUGAAUAAAAUUAGGAAGUUUGCCAUGCUAGCCAAGUUUUCUAGUACGUUAACAGUAUCUAUGGAUCUCAAAACAAGGUGGAAUGCAACUUAUAAAAUACUCGAAGUUGCAUUGAAGUAUAGAAGGGUGUUCAAAAGGAUGGCCGAAGAAUGGUUGCCUUUUAUGAAUUAUUUUUGUAAAAAAGAUGAAAAGGGUAACGAAAGGAUGGGGCCUCCAAUUGCUGAUAAUUGGGAGAAUGCAAAGGCUUUAGUACACUUUCUGAAAACGUUUUAUGAUGUCGCUUUGGAGCUAAGUGCAUUAAAAAGUCCUACAUCCCAAUUGAUUUAUCAAUCAAUGAUUGCAUUACAAAUUGAGACUGAGAGAGAGAAUUGAUGAUUUGGAUCCGACUCUUCAAAAGGUUGCACGUGCAAUAAUGUUAAAGUUUGACAAGUGUUGGAGGAAUUAGUAUAAUAUGAAACCUUUGAUAUUUAUUGAGAAUAUUUUGGACUCGAGGAACAAGCUUUAGAUGAUCAAAGUCAGUGUCAAAAAAUUUGAAGGUGCUCCUGUAAGAAUCCAAGUGUUCGUUGAUAAGGUCAAACAAAACUUGGUAACUUUGUGGAUGGAGUACAAGGGAAUAAAUGAUAUAUUGAAUGUUGAGAGUUAAAGUAUACAAAUAGAGUUUGAUGGCGGAGAUGGUUGUACUGGUGGUGGUGAUAUGAAUUGUUUGAUGAUGUGGAAGCACAAAACGAAGAAAAACAACUUCAAGAGAUAUUCAAUGAAGUGGAUAAGUACCUAGCCGAUGAGAUUGAAAAACGAUCUAAUAAAUCUUUCAAUCUUUUGGAAUGGUGGAGAGGAAGUGAAACUAGGUACCCAAUUCUUUCAAUUAUCGCCAAGGAUAUUUUUGCAAUUCCAUGCUCAACCAUUGCUAGUGAGUUCGCUUUUAGCUUGGGCAAAAGGGUUGUGAAUCCUUUUAGAAUCAGUUUGAGUACUAAAAUGGUAGAGGUAGUGCUUCACUAAGAGCGGCGGAGUUCAGUUUUUGGAAAGAUCCAAUGGAUGAUGACCUUGAAUUAUAUAAGGAAAUUGAAGAAUUUGAAAGACUGCAAAUGCCACUCAAGACUGUGCCAGAGCUACUACUGUUCUACUUCCGCCUCCUCUUUGGUCUAACUUGAAGAAUUACUAGAAUCAUGCUAGAUAGAAGAUGUGUGGAAAAAGAGGGAAACACUCACAAAGUCAAUUCCAGUCCUUUCUCUCAUAUCUUCCAUCUUAGUAAUCAGACACUGAAAUACUUGGUGAACUCUUUUAAUGAUGUGAAGUUUGCAUGCAGACUUGCAAGUUAAGUCCUCUCCACCACCUGCCCAGUCAACUACCAUAAAUAAUGAUCCUACUAUAAUUCAGCUUCUCUUCAAGUGGCAGGGCGGCAUGCUCCUCCUCCACCUUCUUCUUUGCCGGCAGACUAAUCUUCAUCCAAUCCUCAAUGAAGUCACUGACCAAGCUCAGCCAAAAGAAAUGUAUGAUCAUUAAUUGGAUUGGAUGCUCAUGGAGCAGUAGAAUGAACAACAUGAACUCGAGUUUUUACGUGCUGGUGGAGCCAUCAUCCUUGGUGGCCAAGAGUGCCUUGAUUCCACCGCACCGACUGUGACCGAUCACUAUUAUGUUCUCCACCUGCACAACACCAUCCAAUUUGUAUUUGUGCAUAUCCUGAGGGAAAUAAAAUGGCCAAUUGGGUGGGCAUCAGGUUUGUCACUAGUCUUCUUCUUUACUAUACUUUUUUUUGUUUAAAGUUUCCAGCUCUUCUUGGUUGGCAUUCAUCCUUCAUUCCAAAUGCAAAAAGGGCGAUCUGAUACUUGCCCAAUUGGAGGCCAUGAAUCAGUGCAGACCUUGAGAUAGACCACAGGAUAUUCAAUGGCUGCCCCAAUUCCUCCAUACUUCACCUGAAAAGAAGCAUCAAACACAUAAAACAGGGCAGCUGUCGGCGAUCACACAUCGGAGCAAAUAAAGAAAAGAACCCUACUGGGUCAUAGGGAGGGACUGUGUUGGCGAUGUUGCGGAUUGUGAAGGCCUCACCGGGUUGAAAGUUGAGCACCACCGAUGGGCACACGCGGGAGUCAGAGCAUGCGAAAACAAGUUCAUGAAGACUAACCUUGGGGCUUUGGCUCUCCUUGAGUGGACCAAACAGAUCAGGCUUCUUUCUGCAGUUGAUCGGUGUGAUUGCGAAGCAACAAGCUAAGCAUGCAAAGGGAAGAUGUAAUUGGGACUUACUCAUAGACCUCCUUCUUGAAGAGCUCGAAACCGGAUUGGAAGCGCUCUAUAGUUCCCAUCUAUGUCUGAAGAUGAAUUAAAAGCUAUUGAAGAAGAAGAAGAAGAAGAGACGGAACGAAUCUAAGAAAUAUAAAGAGAAUGGAAAAGAAGGCGAGGUUGGGAAAGGUUGACGAUCUUAUUGUCUUUAUGUCCUGAAAUUGUGGAGGAGAUUGAGGUGGGCGGGAGCAUGAUUGGUUCGUUAUAAACUCAACACGACAAAUACAUGAGUUGUGCUUGGUCCACCACAAAAUUUUAUUAUGUUUAACAUGCCAUUAUUAUCUUUUAACUCGCAGUUCUAAUCAUAAUUUUCGAUUUUUUA